rnacentral:tRNA from 2 species
GGAACGUUAGUAAACCUAUUACAUAGCCUUGUCAAGACUAAAUGAUGGGUGAAAACCCCAUACAUUCCA